AUGAAGUAAUGCCCGCUGCGCCUC
rnacentral:siRNA from 1 species